GCAGACACAUUCCAGCCAAUCAGCAGCAGACCCUCCCUCCCAGACCCUCCCACCUCCUGGACAGCAUCCAUUUUAUAUUCAUUGUGAAGCUGCAUUCUUAGUGAGCUGUCCAGGAGGUGGGAGAGUCUGGGAGGGAGGGUCUGCUGCUGAUUGGCUGGAAUGUGUCUG